rnacentral:rRNA from 1 species
CAGCAGCCGCGGUAAUACGAAGGGUGCAAGCGUUAAUCGGAAUUACUGGGCGUAAAGCGCACGUAGGCGGCUUGGUAAGUUAGAGGUGAAAGCCUGGAGCUUAACUCCAGGAUUGCCUUUAAGACUGCAUCGCUUGAAUCCGAGAGAGGUGAGUGGAAUUCCGAGUGUAGAGGUGAAAUUCGUAGAUAUUCGGAAGAACACCAGUGGCGAAGGCGGCUCACUGGCUCGGUAUUGACGCUGAGGUGCGAAAGCGUGGGGAGCAAACAGGAUUAGAUACCCCAGUAGUCCCUGUCUCUUAUAC